CCUCAGUUCUUGUUGAAUCAUAGUUCACUGUGCUGCCUCCUUGUUCCUGUUCUAAUUCAUGUCUGAUUUGCUGUUGUUCCGUCCUGGUCCAAUUCUGCUUGGUUUCUGGCACAGUAUCCAGGAAACAGACAACAGUGUGGCCUAGUUCACUGGAUAUGGCACUGUACCUGAUUAGAAUUCUCUCCACAAAAUGAUAAACAACACAAUCUGACCACAGGACAUGUUUUUAUGCAGAGACUAAUGACCUCCCAAUGGAGAACAUACUUAUGAUGAGUGGGAGUUCAGUUUCUUCACACAUUUAACUUAGAAGACACUAGUUUUGAGAAAUACUUAAUUUUAGAACGACACACUGGCAGAACAUCUGUAAAUGAGGACAGCAUUAGACCUCCUUCUGCCAACACAUCAUAGACAUCCACUUACUGGACCCCUCCUGUGUUCCCUGAUUUGUGGAAUAACCCAUUUCUGCCUGAACGUACAUUCGUUUCGGUAUGCAGCAGUGAGCAGCAUUAUGCUAACGAAAACCUGGGUUUAUCCUGUAAGCAGCUUUGACUGUGUGUGUACCUGGAUGAGGUAGUGAGAGCAGAGGCUGAGCAGCUCCAGCAGCUGCAGGUGGCUGCCUGCCGACAGGACGUCCUGGAUCACCGCCGGCUCCAGCAGAAUCUGGGAUAAACCAGGAUAAAACAGGAUUCACACUUGAUUUACCCCAGAGCAAAAGGGACGUACGUAUAUUUAUACACACACUUCUCCUGCGGGGCUGAAAAACCACUGCGUCGUCCGCCCACAUAUUGCUGAACUCCUCUGUGAUAUAGAGCUCUGUCACACGGCACAGUGAUGAUGAAAACCACCGUGGAGCUUUGCCAGGAAGCAGAGGCUCGAACAAAGGCAAAGCUUGAAGGAUAACUGUAAUAACUGAGAGUGAAAGCUCUCUACAUCCUGCUCCUCGCUCUACUCCACUGGCCCACACUACAAUUUAAAGCACUUCAGCCUCACGCUGCAGCAGGAAGCCACUGCUGGUGGUUGAACAGGCUCUUUCAUAGCCAAACAUUUUCUGAACUUGAGCUAAUUAUUCUAUAGGAGCAGUGUAGUUUCCACAGAGGCAAUGAACAGAUCAGGGCUAGAGCAGUGACUGUAAUAAGACUCAAAUGUGGAAACUUCAAAAAAAUAAAAUAAAAAUCACUCAUCACAAUCACUUGUGUACUUUGACU